ensembl:snoRNA U3 Small nucleolar RNA U3
AAGACUAUACUUUCAGAGAUCAUUUCUAUAGUCUGUUACUAGAGAAGAUUCUCUGAUCAUGUAGAGCAAGUUCUGAAGGGAGUGCUAUACCCGGAA